UACGAGGGGGGCAAGCGUUGUUCGGAAUUAUUGGGCGUAAAGGGCGCGUAGGCGGCCUGGCAAGUGGAAGGUGAAAUCCCUCGGCUUAACCGAGGAACUGCCCUCCAAACUGCUUGGCUUGAGUCCGGGAGAGGUGAGUGGAAUUCCCAGUGUAGCGGUGAAAUGCGUAGAUAUUGGGAGGGACACCAGUGGCGAAGGCGGCUCACUGGACCGGAACUGACGCUGAGGCGCGAAAGCGUGGGGAGCAAACGGG
rnacentral:rRNA from 1 species